rnacentral:tRNA from 1 species
GCCCGGGUGGCGAAACUGGUAGACGCAAGGGACUUAAAAUCCCUAGCUCCGCAAGGGGUGUGCGGGUUCGACUCCCGCCCUGGGCACCA